rnacentral:misc_RNA from 1 species
CAACCCUCAAGCCCUGCUUGGUGUUGGGGCCCUACGGCUGCCGUAGGCCCUGAAAGGAAGUGGCGGGCUCGCUACAACUCCGAGCGUAGUAAUUCAUUAUCUCGCUAUGGACGUUGCGGCGGCGCUCCUGCCGUUAAAGACCCCAUCUUUAACCAA